rnacentral:rRNA from 1 species
AACGUAGGAGACAAACGUUAUCCGGAGUUACUGGGCGUAAAGGGCGUGUAGGUGGUAGUGUAAGUCUGGCGUGAAAUUUUUCGGCUUAACCGGGAAAGGUCGUCGGAUACUGCACAACUAGAGGACGGUAGAGGCGUGUGGAAUUCCGGGUGUAGUGGUGAAAUGCGUAGAGAUCCGGAGGAGCACCAGUGGCGAAGGCGACACGCUGGGCCGUACCUGACACUGAGGCGCGAUAGCAUGGGGAGCAAACAGG